UACGUAGGGUGCAAGCCGUUGUCCGGAAUUAUUGGGCGUAAAGGGCUCGAUAGGCGGGUCCGUCCAACGUCGGGAGUGAAAAUCCCUGGGGCUUAACCCCAGAACUGCUUCCGAUACGGGCAGACUAGGAGGUAGGGUAGGGGAGGAAUGGAAAUUCCUGGUGUAGCGGUGGAAUGCGCAGAUAUCAGGAGGAACACCAGUAGGCGAAAGGCGGUUCUCUGGGGCCUUACCUGACGCUGAGGAGCAGAAAGCGUGGGGAGCAAACAGG
rnacentral:rRNA from 1 species